CGCCUUCAUUUCUAUAUAACAUCUAAAUUCUCUGUAAAAUGUUGUUGUUUGAACAUACUAUUUAUAUAGCCACUAAUCUGAGUGAAUAUGCAAAUUAGUAACAUCAGUGGCAAUUUACUGUGUCUUCAACAGAGCAGUCGGUCAUUCUGUUGCCACAGAUCUAAUACUAUCUUCAACAGCCAAGAAUGAUCCCACCAUUGAAUGAAAGGAACUUCUGACAAUAUUAACCUAAAAACCUAAAACUACUUUACCCAGCCAAGAAAGGGCCUGUAUUGCUG
rnacentral:misc_RNA from 1 species